rnacentral:misc_RNA from 1 species
CAAUUUGCUUAAACCAUAAUGGAAGCAAAAAUUUUCCGCUUUCUAAAGAUAGUGGGUGUUGGAUACAAAGCCAGAGCUGAAGCAGAAGGGCGCCUCUUAUAUCUCAAAUUGGGAUACAGUCAUGAGGUUGAACUUACAGUGCCUCCUGCUGUUCGUGUUUUCUGCUUCAAGAACAACGUAGUUUGUUGCACUGGAAUUGACAAGCAAAGAGUGCAUCAGUUUGCUGCUUCUGUUCGUAGUUGCAAACCUCCUGAAGUUUACAAAGGUAAGGGUAUCAUGUACAUCGAUGAAGUGAUCAAGAAGAAACAAGGAAAGAAAUCAAAAUGAUGGGGGCAAUUCUGCACGAUGCCGAUAGCAAAGUGUUUUGCCUAAUUCCAUGCGUUGGACUUACAAUGUCUUGUUUUGUCAAAAAAGUUCAAUUUCUGGGAUUCAAACAUUGGAAUUUUGUGAUUUAGAAGGCAUUUAAAUUAGCAAUAAGUUUUUGCAAUAGUGUUUUGGUUGUUCUAUGUGAGAUUUUUUGCUUUUUGUUCAAGGC